rnacentral:rRNA from 1 species
UGGGGGAUCUUGCGCAUGGGCGAAGCCUGACGCAGCGACGCCGCGUGAGGGAUGACGGCCUUCGGGUUGUAAACCUCUUUCAGCUCCGACGAAGCGGAAGUGACGGUAGGAGCAGAAGAAGCACCGGCCAACUACGUGCCAGCAGCCGCGGUAAUACGUAGGGUGCAAGCGUUGUCCGGAAUUAUUGGGCGUAAAGAGCUCGUAGGCGGUCUGUCGCGUCGGCUGUGAAAACUCGGGGCUCAACUCCGAGCUUGCAGUCGAUACGGGCAGGCUAGAGUUCGGCAGGGGAGACUGGAAUUCCUGGUGUAGCGGUGAAAUGCGCAGAUAUCAGGAGGAACACCGGUGGCGAAGGCGGGUCUCUGGGCCGAUACUGACGCUGAGGAGCGAAAGCGUGGGGAGCGAACAGGAUUAGAUACCCUGGUAGUCCACGCCGUAAACGUUGGGCGCUAGGUGUGGGAUCCCUUCCACGGGUUCCGUGCCGCAGCUAACGCAUUAAGCGCCCCGCCUGGGGAGUACGGCCGCAA